rnacentral:rRNA from 1 species
UGGGGAAUAUUGCACAAUGGGCGCAAGCCUGAUGCAGCCAUGCCGCGUGUAUGAAGAAGGCCUUCGGGUUGUAAAGUACUUUCAGCGGGGAGGAAGGGAGUAAAGUUAAUACCUUUGCUCAUUGACGUUACCCGCAGAAGAAGCACCGGCUAACUCCGUGCCAGCAGCCGCGGUAAUACGGAGGGUGCAAGCGUUAAUCGGAAUUACUGGGCGUAAAGCGCACGCAGGCGGUUUGUUAAGUCAGAUGUGAAAGCCUCGGGCUCAACCUGGGAACUGCAUCUGAUACUGGCAAGCUUGAGUCUCGUAGAGGGGGGUAGAAUUCCAGGUGUAGCGGUGAAAUGCGUAGAGAUCUGGAGGAAUACCGGUGGCGAAGGCGGCCCCCUGGACGAAGACUGACGCUCAGGUGCGAAAGCGUGGGGAGCAAACAGG